rnacentral:rRNA from 1 species
UACGGAGGGAGCUAGCGUUGUUCGGAAUUACUGGGCGUAAAGCGCACGUAGGCGGCUUUGUAAGUUAGAGGUGAAAGCCCGGAGCUCAACUCCGGAACUGCCUUUAAAACUGCAUCGCUUGAAUCCAGGAGAGGUGAGUGGAAUUCCGAGUGUAGAGGUGAAAUUCGUAGAUAUUCGGAAGAACACCAGUGGCGAAGGCGGCUCACUGGACUGGUAUUGACGCUGAGGUGCGAAAGCGUGGGGAGCAAACAGG